rnacentral:lncRNA from 1 species
UCGAUCGGUCCGAAGUAAGACCGAUCGAUCGCUUGGUCUCAGGUCUGUUCUGUGCGUGUCGAUCGAUCGGUCCGAGGAUGAGACCGGUCGUUCUUUUUGCUUCUGGUUUUGUCCGGGUGUGGAGAUCGAUCAGUCCAAUGGUGAAAGACUCUAAAAAUACCAUAUAUCACCCGUCGACUUGUUUAAUAUGCAGAAGUAUGAUAUUCAUGGAGUAUGUGGAUUUUUCUUUUUCUUUUCUAUAUUCUGCAUAUGUGAGAUAAGGUAUGUAAAUUUCUUUAUCUUAUGUUUCAUUGUACUAUCGUUUUUAAGCUGAAUCUUCUUUUGUUUUUUUUUUUGUUUUCUGUCGUCUAAUAAAUAGAUCAAUGUGUAAAUAUUAGGAGUAUCAAACAAUUUACAUAUAUCUUCUACCAUCACAUGUUCUUUGCAGGUGGCUAUUCUCCAGUUCUCAAAUAUCAGCAUAAGAGCUUAAGGUUAUUAUUUAAAACCCUUUUAAGACUUUAGAAUAUAUUUGCUUACUCAUAUUCCCAUUAUAAGAACUGGAAUCACCAAUCUUCAAAAUCACGCCUAUUCCCUGCUUAAGUUUCUCUCUUGUUCAUAAAUAAAGUACAGUAUUUAUCCUUUUUAGCAUACUUUGUUCUUGAAGGAAGAUGGAUUCCUAUAAUUCAUAUAUGGUUAUUUCUAAUCCAAACCAAAUGGUUCAAUUUGAAGAUACUCAGCUUUAUGGUUUCAGCUUGGAGAUACUAAUUUAUGCUUUCCUUGUAAUUUUAUUUCCUAUGAUUGAUGAUGAUUUGUUUCAUGGACACUGAAUUAGUCAGAAUAAAAGUAAUGGUUAGUGUAGUGUCUUUAGGUAACAGGAGGUGAGUGCAUUGUUCUCAUUGUGAUUCCUUAAUCUAAUUACUCAUUUGACUUAUCCUUUGUAUCACUUCAUUGUUUGUUACUUCUUGGUUCUCUUCUGUCUUUUCUUGUUAUAAACUUAUGCCUAUGUUUGUUUAGAUUUCUCAAUACUGUCAUUUUUUAGAAAAAAAAUGGUUGUCUUGUUUUCUCUCUUACGUGUUUCAUAUGAUUGAUGAAGGAUAAUUAUAAAUGUAUCUAUAGAAUUGACCACUUCUUACUAAUGAGUUUCUCCUGUGUUGUUUAUAUCAGAUUCUUAGAUAAGCUUAUGUCUGAGAGAUCUUGUUAGGAUGCAAUCCAUCUUUAUUGUGUACACAGAGGAACUUGUGUACAGCAAUCGAACAUUAUUCUCUGUUUGAAGUUCUUAUUGCUAAGUUACUUCCUUUGUUUCUCUUAAAAUCUAUUAUGUAAUACUUCUCUUUUGCAUGUUCAAGCUCUGUUGGUUAUCUUGUUAAUUUUAGUCUUUUGCUCUUUUAUUUGAUACUUUUUAGUGAUGUAUUGUUUUGUUUAUUUGUAUGUAGGAUACUAGUUUCUAUUCUUAAGCUUGUGUCUAUGCUCUGUUUCGCACUAUUUGAGUACUCUCUAGAAUAUGACUUGGGAUCUUACGACUGGCGAGGCGAGGCAAAGUGGUUCAAAUCGAACCGUGAACUAAGUAAAUUCUUGUGCGAAGUUUAGUUCUUUCUGUUUUUCCAAGUGAUUUUCAAGAUCUUACCAAGAUGAAAAUUAGCUACCAAGAUAGAAC